CGACACACUAUCGUUAACUGAAUACAUAGGUUAACGAGGCGAACCGGGGGAACUGAAACAUCUAAGUACCCCGAGGAAAAGAAAUCAACCGAGAUUCCCCCAGUAGCGGCGAGCGAACGGGGAGCAGCCCGGAGUCUGAAUCAGCUUGUGUGUUAGUGGAACGGUCUGGAAAGUCCGACGGUACAGGGUGAUAGUCCCGUACACGAAAAUGCACUUGCUGUGAACUCGAAGAGUAGGGCGGGACACGUGGUAUCCUGUCUGAAUAUGGGGGGACCAUCCUCCAAGGCUAAAUACUCCUGACUGACCGAUAGUGAACCAGUACCGUGAGGGAAAGGCGAAAAGAACCCCGGCGAGGGGAGUGAAAAAGAACCUGAAACCGUGUACGUACAAGCAGUGGGAGCCUCUUUAUGGGGUGACUGCGUACCUUUUGUAUAAUGGGUCAGCGACUUAUAUUCUGUAGCAAGGUUAACCGUAUAGGGGAGCCGAAGGGAAACCGAGUCUUAACUGGGCGUUAAGUUGCAGGGUAUAGACCCGAAACCCGGUGAUCUAGCCAUGGGCAGGUUGAAGGUUGGGUAACACUAACUGGAGGACCGAACCGACUAAUGUUGAAAAAUUAGCGGAUGACCUGUGGCUGGGGGUGAAAGGCCAAUCAAACCGGGAGAUAGCUGGUUCUCCCCGAAAGCUAUUUAGGUAGCGCCUCGUGAACUCAUCUUCGGGGGUAGAGCACUGUUUCGGCUAGGGGGCCAUCCCGGCUUACCAACCCGAUGCAAACUACGAAUACCGAAGAAUGUUAUCACGGGAGACACACGGCGGGUGCUAACGUCCGUCGUGAAGAGGGAAACAACCCAGACCGCCAGCUAAGGUCCCAAAGUCAUGGUUAAGUGGGAAACGAUGUGGGAAGGCACAGACAGCCAGGAUGUUGGCUUAGAAGCAGCCAUCAUUUAAAGAAAGCGUAAUAGCUCACUGGUCGAGUCGGCCUGCGCGGAAGAUGUAACGGGGCUAAACCAUGCACCGAAGCUGCGGCAGCGACACUAUGUGUUGUUGGGUAGGGGAGCGUUCUGUAAGCCGUUGAAGGUGUGCUGUGAGGCAUGCUGGAGGUAUCAGAAGUGCGAAUGCUGACAUAAGUAACGAUAAAGCGGGUGAAAAGCCCGCUCGCCGGAAGACCAAGGGUUCCUGUCCAACGUUAAUCGGGGCAGGGUGAGUCGACCCCUAAGGCGAGGCCGAAAGGCGUAGUCGAUGGGAAACAGGUUAAUAUUCCUGUACUUGGUGUUACUGCGAAGGGGGGACGGAGAAGGCUAUGUCAGCCGGGCGACGGUUGUCCCGGUUUAAGCAUGUAGGCGGAGGUUCCAGGUAAAUCCGGUACCUUAUUAACGCUGAGGUGUGAUGACGAGGCACUACGGUGCUGAAGUGAUAAAUGCCCUGCUUCCAGGAAAAGCCUCUAAGCAUCAGGUAACACGAAAUCGUACCCCAAACCGACACAGGUGGUCAGGUAGAGAAUACCAAGGCGCUUGAGAGAACUCGGGUGAAGGAACUAGGCAAAAUGGUGCCGUAACUUCGGGAGAAGGCACGCUGAUA
rnacentral:rRNA from 1 species